rnacentral:rRNA from 1 species
AUGAACGCUGGCGGCGUGCCUAAUACAUGCAAGUCGAGCGCACGGACGAGAAGCUUGCUUCUCUGAUGUUAGCGGCGGACGGGUGAGUAACACGUGGAUAACCUACCUAUAAGACUGGGAUAACUUCGGGAAACCGGAGCUAAUACCGGAUAAUAUUUUGAACCGCAUGGUUCAAAAGUGAAAGACGGUCUUGCUGUCACUUAUAGAUGGAUCCGCGCUGCAUUAGCUAGUUGGUAAGGUAACGGCUUACCAAGGCAACGAUGCAUAGCCGACCUGAGAGGGUGAUCGGCCACACUGGAACUGAGACACGGUCCAGACUCCUGCGGGAGGCAGCAGUAGGGAAUCUUCCGCAAUGGGCGAAAGCCUGACGGAGCAACGCCGCGUGAGUGAUGAAGGUCUUCGGAUCGUAAAACUCUGUUAUUAGGGAAGAACAUAUGUGUAAGUAACUGUGCACAUCUUGACGGUACCUAAUCAGAAAGCCACGGCUAACUACGUG